AAUGAACGCUGGCGGCGUGCUUAACACAUGCAAGUCGGAUGUGCCGCAAGGUGCAUGGCAGACGGGUGAGUAACGCGUGGGGAACCUACCUCUUUGUGGGGAAUAACGCUCCGAAAGGAGUGGUAAUACCGCAUGAGACUGCUCGUUGGGAUACGGGCAGUGAAAGCUGGGGCAACCUAGCGCAAAGAGAGGGUCCUGCGUCUGAUUAGCUAGUUGGUGGGGUAACGGCCUACCAAGGCAUCGAUCAGUAGCCGGCCUGAGAGGGUGAUCGGCCACACUGGAACUGAGACACGGUCCAGACUCCUACGGGAGGCUG
rnacentral:rRNA from 1 species